AACGAACGCUGGCGGCAUGCCUAACACAUGCAAGUCGAACGAGACCUUCGGGUCUAGUGGCGCACGGGUGCGUAACGCGUGGGAAUCUGCCCCUCGGUUCGGAAUAACACAGAGAAAUUUGUGCUAAUACCGGAUAAUGACGAAAGUCCAAAGAUUUAUCGCCGAGGGAUGAGCCCGCGUAGGAUUAGGCUAGUUGGUGGGGUAAAAGCCUACCAAGGCGACGAUCCUUAGCUGGUCUGAGAGGAUGAUCAGCCACACUGGGACUGAGACACGGCCCAGACUCCUACGGGAGGCAGCAGUGGGGAAUAUUGGACAAUGGGCGAAAGCCUGAUCCAGCAAUGCCGCGUGAGUGAUGAAGGCCCUAGGGUUGUAAAGCUCUUUUACCAGGGAUGAUAAUGACAGUACCUGGAGAAUAAGCUCCGGCUAACUCCGUG
rnacentral:rRNA from 1 species